AAAGAAAGUUGUUUCUUUCUUAAAACACGUUUUCGUACUGAAAAGUACUCGUAAAUUUAAUUUUUUGAUUUUUUACUGCAGAGAUAGAAUAAACUUUGGCUACCGAAUGAAUGGACCGAUCUACGCUUCAAAAUGAAUAUUUGGUUGUCGUUUGCUUGGGUAUUAUUCCUUGUUUAGAUGUGGAUUUACCAAAUAUAUGUGAGGUGGUCAAUAUUUCUUGGGCUGUUGUUUCCAACUAUAGCAGCAGCAUGCCAAGUAGUUUCCAUAUCCAACGGGGAAUUAUUGACAUAGUUCAGUACUAUAUAUUUCCUGAGUAUGGACAGCUUGAUUUUCAGGACUAUCCAGAGUUGGAGUUUGCCUUACCUUUAUCUGACGUUCUUAUAAAGUUUGAGAAAUAUUUAGAAAAAAACUUUACCAGCAAAAACAAAUCCUUUGCGCUUGUUACUGAUGGUCCUAAUGAUUUUUACUUUUUGAGAAGUUAUCAAAACAAGCUUUGGUCAUCUCGUCCCGACUUUUGGAAUCGAUACUUUGAUCUGAGAGCUGAAUUUUGCAAGAAAUACAAUUUCGUCCCUGAAACACUAUUCAAAAUGAUUGAAUUUUUUCAUUUGCCAAUCACUGACAUGAAGAGCUCUUUCGAAGAAUGUACAGUUCUCGCCGCUGUCGUCAAUAAACUUUUGCAAAACGGGCAUACUUUUUUUAACUUAGAAACAGUUAAACGACUCAAUUCCUACUAUUAUGAAUGGGCACUAUCCCCAAAUACAGUCCGAAUAAUUGGUAUUUCUUGGGACACAACAAAAGAGAACCUUGAGGAAUUUAUGUUUGGACUAGAGAUUGAGAACUCCGUAAUUUGCUAUAAUAUAUCUGGUUGUCCUAUGGGUAAUGCUUUGAUUUGGUUUGCAAGUAGUGAAGAUGCUACAGCGGCUCUAUCUCGGUCUGGAAACUAUAUGGAAAAUUUACCAAUAACGGUUAAACCAGCGGCUGUUGGGGAAUUUGAAAGAGUACUAGCAAGACAAAAGGCAAUCAGACGACUUGUUUUUGGUCAUGUUCUUUCUAACUUUCUAGCUCUCAAACUGAAAGCUGAAAGUAGCAUUCAUACGACCAAUGAAGAUAAUGAACAACAAGACAUGUCUUUCAGUCAGAGGUGGUCUGCACUCACACAAGCCACAGAUUCAAAUCAGAAUAUGACAAAUAAUGAUUCGAGUCAUCGGCAUAACGUUCCUAGAAGUUGCCAUAACCUAUUCCAAGUGAGCGAAAAUAAUUCAGCCACUUCUGUUACUCCAUCUCAUGGCCGUCAAUCUAAGCAUGCGCUAGCCUGCAAAAAUACUCGUUUAUCUUUUUGCAAAAAAUUUCCGGAUUCCGUAGUAUCUCUACAGGGUCUUCCAUACUCAAUCAACGCUGAAGAUAUUCUUAAAUUUUUCGAAGAAUACGACGUAAUCGCAGACUCUCUUACAUUAUUAGUAAGCGAAAAUAAUCGGCCCUCAGGAGAAGCUUACAUCGCAUUUACUUCCCCCGAGGAAGCUAACCGUGCCAUUCAAGAAAAAAACAAAAAUUACAUUCACAACAGAUAUCUUGAUCUUGUGAUUUUGAAGCCAUAGAAAUUUUUAUGCUUUCUUGGUUUCACUAAAAUGCCUGCUACCUGUAGCAAGCAUAUGCGCGAUUAAAACACCUCAGCACCUUAUGUAUAAAGCAUUCUCUGAAUAGAACAGACCUUUGUCUAAAAAAUUACUUGUUCGAUUAACUAUUACCUACGUCAUAAUGAUUAUGAUUGAUAAUAAACGCUUAUGAAAAUUUUUUUCAGA